rnacentral:rRNA from 1 species
UACGUAGGGUGCGAGCGUUAAUCGGAAUUACUGGGCGUAAAGCGUGCGCAGGCGGUUUGUUAAGCCAGAUGUGAAAGCCCCGGGCUCAACCUGGGAACUGCGUUUGGUACUGGCAAGCUAGAGUACGGCAGAGGGGGGUGGAAUUCCACGUGUAGCAGUGAAAUGCGUAGAGAUGUGGAGGAAUACCGAUGGCGAAGGCAGCCCCCUGGGCUAACACUGACGCUCAUGCACGAAAGCGUGGGGAGCAAACAGG